UUCCAAUCCGAUAUAUUUUUUCAGGUGCAAAGCAUGCUCCUUUUGCUCCUCGGGACAUACAAAAAAAUGAAAUCAACCCAUUUCUUGUUAUUUUUACUGAUGCCACCUCAUCUAAUACAUCUAUGAUUUUUCAUCGAGACUUCAAAUGGAUCUCCCAGAUAUAUCUUGACCGAUCCAAAAAGGAAAAAAGAGUCAGAACUAGGCUUGGAUUAACUAGACUCCACGACCACUUUACUUCUAUUGUUUCCUUUUUUAUUCGCCACUGGGAUCUAUUCCUUUUCGCUCUGAUCUCCAUUCGACGAGCCAUCAGUUUCAAACAAAACAUCUGCCUCCGUCAUCAUCUCCCAGACCAGGACUAUAUCUUGAAUUAAAAGACAAAGAAACUCAGCAUAUCGUCAUCCCCUCCUCCUAAGCCCGUAGUAGACGGUCGUCACUAUCUAACACCAUUACCAUGGCAGCCAGCAACACCAAGAGGCUUCAAGCUGGCAGAGCCCACAUCUAUACAGAUAGUGUUGCUGGAAGGGGGAGCUGAGUGCUGGUAUCUACUACCUCCUGCCCUUCACCAUGGGCUGUAGGCUGAGGAAGAGGACGAGCUGUGUAAACCAGUCACGCUGGUCAACAGGACAGACACUGGGGAGCUGGACCUCAUCAGGGAGUUCAGUUUAGACCCAAUGAUUCAUCUGACAAACAAAUAACUUUUCGUGCUGCCGGCCCAGGCAUGGAUCAAAGCUGGCGAGACAUUCAAUGACGUCAUCUUCACA
rnacentral:lncRNA from 1 species